CUUUAAUUUUAUCAAAAUUCCUACACUACCCUUAUUCUUUUUACCAAAACCUAACCCUAAUGCCUAAAUUAAACCCACACACUCUUACUCUCACAUAAGCAUACACUCUGAAGUCUGAACAAAAGAAAUAGAGAAAAGGGGGUGAGAAAGUCACCGAGGGAAGAAGAGAAGAAGAUGACGGCACUGGCAAAGCAAAGAGAAGCCGUCGCCGCUGUCGAGUUAUAGAGGCAGAGGGAGAGACGAAUAAGGAGAUAGAUGGAUAAAGAGAAGGCAGCACCACUAUCGUCGCUGCUGGGACUCAUCGCUGGAGUUACGGUCAUCGCCGUUGAAGGGGCCGCGUCGGACGGAGACAUUGCCAUCGCUGAAGCUCACCGCUGGUGCAACCCGAAGCUAUCUCCGCCUUUACUCUGCUCCACUGCGGCUGACCCAUACCUCUCCCCUGUUCGUCAAAGCUUGUAGUGUUGCUGCGGGAGUCACUCCAGAGGAGAGGAACCACCGCCACCGUUAUUCUGUUGUGUCCUUCACCGUCGACGUUGGAGAGGGUCACCAGAGCUGCUGAUGCUCCAUCCCCUUGUUUUCUUUGGCCGUUGGAUUUGCUGCCAUUGUUACCGUGGUUGUCCCAUGUUAUUAUUACUAGGGCUGUUGGCAUUACUGCAGUGAGAAUUGAAAUUGUUGCUACUACCCAAUCCAAAUUCUGCACUCUUUCGUACCCUUUAAUUCAGCACUCCGAGUUUGGUCUAUUCGGUCCCUUAGGACCACGCUCUG